UGAGGCAGCGGGAACUCUGUGGCAUCCAGUGAUCUUCUGGGCUGUGUUUAUGACCCUCUGGAGCGCUGUCCUCUAAGCCACAGUCCAGCUGGAGAACCAAAC